AUACUCUGGUUUCUCUUCAGAUCGUACAAAUCUUUCGCCUUUUACUAAAGAUUUCCGUGGAGAGGAACAUAUCUGAGUCAUUACCAAUUUUUUGAGGUCUUGCUUCUUGCAAGGCU
ensembl:snRNA Gm22265 predicted gene, 22265